rnacentral:rRNA from 1 species
GAUGAACGCUGGCGGCGUGCCUAAUACAUGCAAGUCGAGCGAACAGACGAGGAGCUUGCUCCUCUGACGUUAGCGGCGGACGGGUGAGUAACACGUGGAUAACCUACCUAUAAGACUGGGAUAACUUCGGGAAACCGGAGCUAAUACCGGAUAAUAUAUUGAACCGCAUGGUUCAAUAGUGAAAGACGGUUUUGCUGUCACUUAUAGAUGGAUCCGCGCCGCAUUAGCUAGUUGGUAAGGUAACGGCUUACCAAGGCAACGAUGCGUAGCCGACCUGAGAGGGUGAUCGGUCACACUGGAACUGAGACACGGUCCAGACUCCUACGGGAGGCAGCAGUAGGGAAUCUUCCGCAAUGGGCGAAAGCCUGACGGAGCAACGCCGCGUGAGUGAUGAAGGUCUGCGGAUCGUAAAACUCUGUUAUUAGGGAAGAACAAAUGUGUAAGUAACUAUGCACGUCUUGACGGUACCUAAUCAGAAAGCCACGGCUAACUACGUG